UACGUAGGGUGCGAGCGUUAAUCGGAAUUACUGGGCGUAAAGCGUGCGCAGGCGGUUUGUUAAGUCCGCUGUGAAAUCCCCGAGCUCAACUUGGGAAUUGCAGUGGAUACUGGCAAGCUGGAGUAUGGUAGAGGAAGGUGGAAUUCCCGGUGUAGCAGUGAAAUGCGUAGAGAUCGGGAGGAACACCAGUGGCGAAGGCGGCCUUCUGGACCAAUACUGACGCUCAUGCACGAAAGCGUGGGGAGCAAACAGG
rnacentral:rRNA from 1 species